UACGUAGGGUGCGAGCGUUGUCCGGAAUUAUUGGGCGUAAAGAGCUCGUAGGCGGUCUGUCGCGUCUGCUGUGAAAACCCGAGGCUCAACCUCGGGCCUGCAGUGGGUACGGGCAGACUAGAGUGCGGUAGGGGAGAAUGGAAUUCCUGGUGUAGCGGUGGAAUGCGCAGAUAUCAGGAGGAACACCAAUGGCGAAGGCAGCUCGCUGGAACGGUACUGACGCUGAGGCGCGAAAGCGUGGGGAGCGAACAGG
rnacentral:rRNA from 1 species